UAGGAGCCACCGAUCCUGCUACAAAUAGAGGUGGCUUCUCACCACAUCCACUGACCCACCCCCAUUUAUCGACGCAGUAGUAAACCACUAUGGUGGAGUGACGAUUUCUUGCCUUGAGUUAUAGCUGCUUCAGGGGUAAGUUGCCGAGUGCUUCUUGUACAACGACGACUUUUCACCCCUACCCACCCCUUUCUAACCCUUCAUUUUCCUACGUAACGGUGAACCACUGCAUGCAACGGCCAUCAAUGAGCUGCUAUUACUUCAAUGGUGAGCGUUGGCAUUUUUGUUGAGCGGCUUGAAAUUGAUUUGGUUGGUUGUUUGAUCAAACUUGUUGUUUGAUGUGGUGGUGUAGGCGGUUGUUUGAUCAGUUGUGGCAGGUGGUUGUUUCAUCAGAUCUGUUGUUUAACUAGAGUUUUGGGAUGGUUGUUGGUGUUUUGAAAAUGGUACUAGUGAUUUUCCUGAUAUGUAGAGUAGUUUUGUUGUUGUUGAUGGUUCUGUUAGUGGUGGUGUAGGCGACAAUAUUUCUGCUGUUGGUGGUGGUGUAUGUGGUCAUGAUGAGAUGGUGAAUGUUUGGUUCUCGAAAUUGUUGCGAAUAGUGGUGGCAAUACAACCGGGUGUAACCAAAUCUAUCUUCAUGUGACUAUCUGUGACCACAUCUAUGUUAACUGUUAUUGUAUGUAACUUGGUUAUAUACAGUGACAAAUUAGACUGACAUGAUCACAGACGUCACACUGAAGGCAAAUUUGAAGACAGUUAGUCACAAAUAAUACAGAUUAGUGAAGGUAGUAUUUAUGGUUGCGGUUUUAAGUUGAAGGUGGUGGUGGAUUGUGGUACUGGUUUGCGCUGUGUUCGGAUUUGUUUGUGGUAACCCUCUAUAACCAAGUAUGUGUUUAUUGUGACCAAUUUUAUGCUAAUUGUAAUCGAUUGUGAUGGUUACAUACUGUCAUAGUUAAGAUUAACUUGGUCACAAAUAUCAAACUGAAAACAAAUUUGGUCAAAGAUAGUCACGAAUAACACAGGUUAGGACUUGGUUAUGUACAAUCACAAAUUAGACUAUCACAGAUAGUCACACUGAAAACAUAUUUGAUCUCAA
rnacentral:lncRNA from 1 species